GCUUGCACCACUUCUCCUAGCUGUACCUUUGUCUUUUCUUGGCACUGACAUUUUUAAGGGCACAGAUCAUUUGAUGUGGAUGCAAUCAGUUUGAAUCAGCUGAUUAUUUCCUUGUAGUAUACGAGUAGGAAUCUACAUAAUGUUGUGUCAUAUCAAUAUACCCACUCUCAGGAGGAAUAAAUGUCAGUUCAUUCCAUUUCUUUGAUAUACCCCUCUCCCACCUGUCAGUACUGGGGAUUGUACCCAGGGCCUUCACACUGAUCUGCAUCCCCAGCCCUUUUUUAAAAUUUUCUAUCUUGCUAAGUCACUAAAUAGCCCAGACUGGCCUUUAACGUGAUCUUCCUGUCUCAGUUUCCCACAGUCCUGGAAUUAUAUGUAUGCACCACCAUGGCCAUAUCAUUUUUCUUUUUUUUUUUCCAUAUCAUUUUUCUUCUUAACAGCUGUGCACCACCACACCCAGCCCAUUUUAUUUUUUAAGACAGGAUCUCAUUAAGUUGCUCAGGCAGAUCUCUAAAUUGGCAAUCUUCCUACCUCAGCUUCCUGAAUGGCCGGGAUUACAUGCAUGUGGCACAUCUGACUCAUGAACUACAAUGGAUUUAAGAACCAUAGAUUUCCUAUAUGGAAAUCAAUCUAUCUUACAAGCCUAGCUGGCCUAAACAUAAGUCAUACCUUUCUAUUCUCUGCCCCUUUUUCAUCUGCCAUCCCCUCUAUCCUAUGCAAUUUCUGCAGAACUUCACUUUUUUUUUUUUUGGUACCGGGGGAUCGAACUAGGGUCCUUGCGCUUGCGGGACAGGUGGUGGAACCACUGAGCUAAAUCCCUAGCCCUUGUCUAUGCAUUUUUUUAUUGCACUGGCUAGCUAUGAAUUCCUGGACUCAAGCCAUCCUGCCUCAAUCUGUCAAGUAGAUGGGGCUACAGGUAUGAACCCACAGUGCCCACCUUGUUACCGGUUUUUUGGUUUUUUUUUUUGGUACCAGGGAUGGAACUCAGGACCUUGUGUUUGCAAGGCAGGCAUAGUGGCAUAGUGCCACUGAGCUAAACCCCCGGCCCAAUUAUUGCAUUUUUUAAAGACAGUUGGUCUAUCCAACUCCACCAUGAAAAUCUUCCCACUGAGCUCACAAUGAUUUUUUUUUUCUUUUUUUUUUUUUCUGGUACCGAGGAUCGAACUCAGAACCUUGCGCUUUCGAGGCAGGUAGCAGAACCAUUGAGCUACAUCCCCAGCCCUCAAAUUCUUAUACUCUUAAUUUUCAAAGUCUUACUGUUAAUCCAACAACUUAUCUUUUAUUACACUUACUCACACUUUUCCUUUAUUUUGAUGCAAAUUCCAGAAACUAUAAUUUUAUGGAUUUUAGUAUGAACCUCUAAAAGGAUUUUCUACAGUCAGGGAUGGUGGUGCUGGAGGCUGAGGCAGGAGGAUCACCACAAGUUCAAAGCCUGGGCUACAGUGAGAUCCUGUCUCAAAAUAAAAGAAUUAUUCUACAAAACAUAUCUCCUUAAUAGCAAACACUGAGUAUUCCACUUUUCCGACAGUUUCCUAACUUCAAAGCUGAUUUGAGUCAGGAACCAAGCAAGAAUCACAUCUGUAUGGCUGAUGUUCCCCCAAAAGUUUCUUGUUUUAAUAUGAUACUGGGAUCAAACUCAAGACCUUGCAUAUGCUAAGCACAUACUUCACCACUGAGCUAUAUCCCCGGUCAAAUCUAUUUUAUAGUAUUCCCUGCUCCUCCCGCCCAGUCUCCUUUGCACUUUACUUAUUGAAGAAACCAGACCACUGGUUCUGUAACAUGUCCUACAUUGUAGGUUUUAUGGAUUGCUUGUAAUGCUAUUUAACAUGUUCCUGAAUUGCUUCUUGCUCUGAUUCAACUUGUUUGAUUUGGAUUUUUGGUUUCUUGUAGUUUUGUUUUUGUGUGUGUUUUUUACAAUAGAUGGUAUAUACUUCCAUCAAAAGAUACGUAA
ensembl:lncRNA